GUGGAUCUUGGAGCAGAGAAGCGGUGGUCUGCGGGUCAAUAUUGGUGGUCUGGAACUCAGAACAUGACCCUGGAGGCGGAACCACAGGCAGGGCAACAAGGUGGACAAAAGCAUGUAAGGAGAGCGACCAUUUUGCAGACAGCUUGGUGUCUUCUCCAGCU